AGGGGUAUAGCUCAGUGGUAGAGCACAUGCCUAGCAUGCAUGAGGUCCUGGGUUCAAUCCCCAGUCCCUCCA
rnacentral:tRNA from 1 species